GGCCCGGUGGUGGAUGGUCCGCGCCUGCUUUCAAUGGAUCUUUAUCGACGGAUACAUGCGGAAGUCGCUCGUUCAAAUCGAGCCCGGGCCC